GUACCCCUUACUGAAAAAUUCACAGCAAGGCGAGAACGUAUUACUAUAUGUUCUGCGCACGCUAUCUUUUCUAUGAGAAUACCUGCAAUUGCCAAUACAUGGACAUGAUGUGUCAUUAACAUCCAUUCCAUACUUUGGGCUUAUUCGACUAGUUAAUUUCGUUGACUACGAUUUUUUGUUGAGUAUUAUUUUCAUUCGACUGGUUAGUAAAAUUGACUUCGUUGACAACGAAAAUUAACGUAAACAAAGGUUUACGUGACCAAAGCAAACAUGACCGAUUGGUCAGUUCAGAAACACUGACAUUUCCGUUAAUAGAUUAGAUUUCAGAGAAUAAACAUUGUAAAUGAUCUACCCACAUGAAUUUAAAAAAUUAUUUUAGGUUAACAGUAUUCAAAAACACUUUUUUUUUUUUUUUUUUACGAAGAACCUUUACUGACACAAGCUGUUCAGCAAUCUUGAUCGCAGCGUGUAUCGCGGUAACUAUGCAGUCAUUUUGUUUUGUCCGAGUAUUUGCAAGUUUUCUAUUCGACUGGUCGUCUUCGUAGGAUUAUUAAGUAGGAUUUUACCACUGCGCAGUUUAACGGAAAACGACCAGUCCAAUACGGCCAUUGACAAAGUCUAUGUAUUUAAUAUUACAUAAAACUUGAUAAUGUAGAGAGGGCAUGCAUGUUGAACAAUUCAUACGUUUUUAGAGGAAGAAAAGCCUGAAAUGUUUCUGAGCAAAAAAAUACACUAAAUUAUCACAUUCGAUUAGGCCAUAUUCCCAGCUAUCUAUAGCGUCCUUCAUAAUUAAUCCUCACUCCAUCUCCCAUAACCCUCGCUACUCCCCAUCUCUACCAAAUGUCAAUACCCAUACAGUGCUGUUGAACACAACUGAUUCAUGAUUGCAAAAUAACAGUAGUUUUAAAAUUAUGGUUUCACAACGUAGUGCUUUGCUAACAAUAGAUCGAUACUGAUUUGUGAUUCAUCGGCGAUGGGAAUUCCCAUAUAUCUAUUUUUAGAAAUGCUUUCGUUUCCAUUUGGCUGUCGUUAUUCAAUUCACUCUAUUAACAACACGUUGUGAACAUUGCCUGCACAGAAUUUUUGUAUAAUAAUAUGAAAUCAUGGGCCGUUUGCCCAGUCAGGCAGAAUACCUCAUCAGGUAAACACCUCCUGAAACGUAGUUAAGUUCGUCAGUUUCAGAUUUUUGCCAGAAGCCUGAGCUCAGUGUUUUAGCCAACAAACAAAAACAGCCAAGACGUCAGGAAGAUGGCUUCGCAAGCAGAUUCAUCCGACACUGUUGUAGCCCCUGCUAGAAAUGGCACAAUUGAUGUGAACACCGGAAGAAGCCCGGAAGAACCCGAAAUGAACAUUACAGUACGUUAUCGGUCCGAUGUUGCCUUGAAGAGACGGAUUAACAUCGAAAACGGUUGCUGUAUAUAUUACGGAGAACAUAACUGUCAAGGCACACAGAGGCUACUUCUAGAACUCCCCAGGGAAGAGGAGAUCGAAAGAACCGAAACAAAUGAGGACAUUAAGAAACUCACGUGUGAUGCUUUACGGAUCAUGAAGGACGGUUUUCUAUUAGAGUACAAAGACCGUUGUAUAUACGCAAGACGUCGAUGUCGAUCUAGAAUAUACUAUUACAGUUCACAACUGACUUCAGGGAAAGACCCUAUCAAACUCAAGAUUGAUGAAACUACAAAAAUAUUCGACUACGAUUUGUUUUACAAAGAGUUUAGUAACUGGUAUCGUGAAUAUAUUAAUGGAAUAGAGACACCACUGAUUCGUCCUAAAAUCUGUUUUUCAUUUGGCCAAUCAUGGCAGCCAUUUCAUAAAAAUCAACCAAGAAACCAAGACCGGCCCCAGCCUACUGCUAUAGACACAUGUAUCAUGUCCAUGUACGCCGUUCCGCUUCAGGCACGCGACGCGAUUAUUUCUACCGAGGGAGGCCGGAAGAUCUCCGAGACACUCUCAUGGGGCCUGAAUAGUGGCCACUUGUUUUUAUCGAAUGAAGAAAAAAAGCAAGUUUGCACAUUGUUGGAAGCAUGUAGGGAAGAAAGACUCAGUGCACGUCAACAGAUGCUAGCACAACAAGACCACCAACAACAACAACAACAACUGCAUGAGCAACAACAGCAGCAACAAUUGCAGCUUCAACUACUACAGCAGCAGCAGCUGCUGCAACAACAGCAACAACUACAGCAGCAGCAGCAACAUCAACAGCAACAACCGCAGCACGAUCUGCAAUACCAACAAGACCAAUAUUACCUCCCCCAACAUUCAGGUAAUAACAUAUUUCAAUUCGAAUGCAAUGACGACUACAUCAUGGAUGAUGUAAUGAUGCCAGAUGAAUUUUGCGAACUACCAGACGAUAUAAGUGAAAUGAUGUCAGAAUAUACAGAGCCAGUUGUUACGGAAAAAUAUUUACAAGACCUGCUUGCGUCAUUGGAAAGACAGUGAUUAUAGUGUUUAUGACAUAUUAUAUACAUAAUAACAUAUUAUAUUAUAUACAUAAUGUAUAUAAACAAAUUGAUAACAGUGCUCGAAAAUGAACAUCCCCAUACUUCGGUUUGGGUGCUGGCAUGGUAUUCAAAUUUCACUUCCUUUUAUUUUGUGGUUUUGGUUUCCGUUCCAUCUUUACACUUGCCUGAUAGCGCUUAGAGACUUUUUGUAUUUUGCGCUCUAUAAAUUAAUAACCAUUAACCAUUAACAUAAGGCAUAUGGUAUAUUAGUCGUAUCAUCAAUCAUAGCUCUUCAACAAAACCCCCAGACUAUGUCAAACUCCCCCCUAAAUUUUCCCAAAUUAUAUAUAAAAAAAAGAAAAAUUAUAAUCAAAUUUAGGUCUGAAUGUGAGGCCAUUUCCGGCCAUCUAGUGCGCCAUAAUAAUAAACUUUCUUACCUUGCUCCUCCCCAACCAUGGUAGGGCUGAAGUGGUCAAGACUCCGGGUCCCCUCUAUUUCGAAUUCCUGGAUCAGUCACUGUUAAUAGUAGUAUUUAUAUGACUUGUUGUGUUGUCCUGUAUGCAGCUUGUCCAAUGGCUUUUCAUGUGAGGUUAUUGGGGUUACAAGAGAAUUUAAAUGAAAUGUAAAAAUAUAAAUAAUAUGCAAUCUAAAAUAAAUGUGCAUUGAAAUACCAAUCUUAGGUCAAUGGUGUGUUUUGUUAUUAGAUUAAUUCAUGAUAUAUUUUGUAUUUACUUGAUUUUGGUCAUUUCUCGUCUUAUUUGUGUGCCACUUAAUAGAAACAAUGAAAUACUAAUAAUUAUAAUAAAUUUACAUUGCUGCGGCGUAUGACGCCCGAGAUUGUUUAAUAAUAUAAUUACAUACGUAUAUUAUUAUGUAUUAUAAUUUUUCUUUAACUUGCAUAUUAAUGUCGUAAAUUAUGCUAUGGCGUAUGACGCCUAUGAUUCUUUAAUAAUACAAUUACCUAAUAUAUUAUGUAUAUACAGUAGGUUUUUCUUCAAUUUGCAUAUUAAUUACAAUAUAAUAACUAUAGUAAUAAAGUACAAUGCUGCUGCGUAUGACGCCCAUGAUUGUUUAAAAAUAAAAUCACCUAAAUAUAUUAUUAUGUAUAUAUAUUUUUUCUUCAAUUUGCAUAUUAAUUACAUUAAAAAUUGAUAUGGCGUAAGACGCCCUAAUAUUUACUUAAUGUAAGGUAAGCAUAAUAAAUGAAUAAAUAAAUAAAUUGCGUUUCUAUGGCAUAUGACACCAAUGAUUGUUUAUAUUAAUUAAAUAACAAUUAAACAUGAUGCUCUUUCUAUCGAAGUACCUGUAUAAUCUUCAUUUUGCUGCUACACCUCGAAGAGGCUGAUGACUGAAAUCGUUGUGCGUCAAUAAAUUCACAGCAAUUGUGUACUUAGUACGCUUCUGAAUUUUCUGUUAGUUUGAAAAAUUGAUUCACAACCCACAGCGUAAUAAUGCUGAAUUGUGCACGAGUCUGGUGGUAGUGGUCAGUAUACAGGGAAAGAUUUAGCGGGGGGAUGCCCCCGGACCACCAUAGGGUAAUGUUGUCUCUCGAUCGUCCCGACCCCCCCUUUCGCCACCUCUGGAUCCGCCCCUCAUGGUGGUGGUACUAGUAGUAGUAUUAGUAGUAAUUAGUGUAGUAGUAGUAGUCGCAUCUUUCUGCAAAGGUGUGGGUGAAGGGCUGUAAUGAAAAGUGAACUAACACUUCCGUGUAUGCCCUACAUUGGGCAUCUGGUUUUGAGUCCUCAUCAAAGAAGUCUUGAUUCUACCAGUAGGCCUACCAAUUUUUAAGGUCAUAUCGCGGUACUACUCGAUUCCGACCGAAAUUUCAUACAGUAGUUCCUUGGUUUUAUGACGCCUAUUCUCGGAAUCGGAUUUUAGUUCCUCUAUUUAUGUUAUUCUUCGAAUUUAUCGAUUCCCCGGAAUUCUGAGAACUCAUGAACCCGGCUUAGUAUUGUAUUAUUCCAGUAGACUUACUAUGUUAAAUCCAACAUACUUAACUGUCGCUCAAAAUAUGAAUUGUUAUCGAAACGGUUGACUGACUGCGAAUUUAUAAUAUUCAUUGACAAAAUGAAUUACUACGAGCCGAACAGGCCUACGGUUGAAUGAAAUCUGUAUAAAAGGGAACCUUUAUGAAUGUUGAUGUUAUUUGACUGCAUUGACGCAUUGCUGAUGAGACCGACCGGCCAGUAUGUAGAGUCAUCUCAGAACGAUAUUUAAUUACAGUAACACUUACAAUACGAAGGAACACCUCGAUUGCAGACGGCCUACAGUGAUGAUUUGAGGCUUAUAGUGGUCUAUUGUAGAAACGGUUGUUGCAACAAGUUACAAAUAAGAAGAAAAAAAAA